CCGAGGCAGGGAGUAGCUAUCCGACCUGAUGUGGAGAGUAGCACCCCAGUAUACCCACCUUCCAGACCAUAGACUCGUGCGUCAACAAAAGUUUUUGCGGUAAUGGAAGAUGAAGCACGAGUCCAACCUAGAGAAAGUGAAUGAAAAGUUAGGUGGAAAUGUAAGAUAAUGAUAAGUGAUGUAAAUACUAAGUGCUGAGAGUGUAAAUAAAGCUUUUAAGAAUAAUAUAAUAAAUGAGUUUAUGUAGAAUAUUGCUAUGGAAUUUUCUUAAUGUAUUGUGGAAGUUGGAGUUCAGAAAUGCAUAAGACAUGAAAGAUGAAUCUUUGAGGUAUUGAUGAGAAUGAAAGUGCAACCCCACAUGUGUAGGGAUUAGUAAUAUGGGUAACUAAAGUGAAGAAUGAUCCUGAGUGGUUCGAGAUUUAAAUUUCAUGUAUGAUGAGUGAUGUAGGUAGAGCAACGAAAAGAACAUCUCAAUAGUUAAAGGAUUGUGGAAGAAUGCUCAAACGAAUGAGAUGACAUGAGAUGUUGAACAUUGGAUAAAAACUAAUACCCCUAUCUUUUCUUGGAGUUCGAUAAGUGAAAUUUUGGAGACAAAAUUUUUUUAAGGGGGUAGUGUUGUCAAACCCUGCUUUGUAAAAUAAUUAUGAUGUCAUUCACAUGCUCGAUAGAAUGUUUGUAUAUUAAGGAAGCCCGAGAAAUCGACAAAAGAUGGUAUUGCCCCUAGAGGUGUUGUGAAGUUGAUUUAUACCUCGAACUAGUUCAAAUAAAAAAUUUAAAAAGGAAUUUGAGAGUUUUGAAACUCCAAAAUCUACUUAGAAUGGUGAUUCAGAGUUCGAGGAUCAAUUUGGAAUCAAUCAAGAAAAUUGACCGAUUAUGGGGCAAAAUGGUAAUUUUACCACCCGAGGACGAAAUUGAAUUUUUUGAGAGAAUUUAGAUCAAAUUUGAUUAAAUGGAGCAUGAUAUGAGUAUAAAGAGUGAAAAUUAUGCAUUUUGGUAAUUUUUUAAUUUUUGGGGUAAAAAUAUAAUUUUUCACUUUUACGGGGGCAAAAGUGUAAUUUUUAAAAAUUUACUCCACCAAAACUUUGAAAAAGUCUAGAAAUUUCAUGGAAGAUAUGGAUAAGUGAAAAGGAUUGAGUGGUAGAAAAAGAAAGUCAAAAAGAUGGCUAGAAAAAAAUAAAAUAAUAAAAUAUUCAAAAGGUAAAUAAAAUAAUAAUAUUUUAUUAAACCUAUUAAAAGGCUUGAAAAUUCCAGAACUCUUCAUUGGAAGGGUCAGCCAAAACCAGCAGGAGAGAGAGAGAUAUAAGAACAAACCCUAGAGUGAGAAAAUUCAAAGAAAAAGUGUGAUUUUUUAAGGAAUCAAGUGUUUAAAGGUAUGAUAUUUCAAGCUUAGCUUGAGAUUUAUCAUUUCCAUGCAUUUCUCCUUAUUUUCCAUGGCUAAAUUAUGUGUUUUGAUGAUGGAUUCAAAUCUGAUCAUAUGGGUUUAGAGAGAGAAAGCUAUUAGAUUAAUUUGAUUUUGAACGAUGUUAGUGUUUAGUAUUAGUUUAGCAUGUUUAUGAGUAAAACAAUAAGAAAAAUAUUCAUUUUCUCCAUGAAUUUCUCUAGGCUGAAUCUAGCCAAUGGUGUGUGAGGAUGAGGUUGACUUUAUUUUAAGAGAAUUAGAUGGAAAAAUAAUGAAUUAUGAGGUUGGAAAUUAAAUGGGAAUUUUUGGUGUAAAAAAAUUAAAAUUUUUACCCACUUGGGGUAAAAGCGUAAUUUGUGGUCCGAACUAAUAAAUUGGACCACAUUCACAGUCAUUGAGGUAUGUGGAUAUAAUUGGAUAAUUGAAAUUGAAAUGGAUGGAAUUGGAGUUGAAUUGGAGAUUUAGAAAUUUACACCGUGUAUAGGCAAGUUAGGUCGGACAUUGUGAUUAAGCGAUUGUCCAAACAUUUCACACCCUAUCUAGUGCAUACGUAUGGAUAAGAGCCUGAAAUAAUAUAUAUUGAUUUGACACAAAUUAUUGAAUUUUUUGUGUCAUGUAUUAUGGAUAGGUGGUGAGCUAUCUGAUACGGGUAAAAGACUGCACCCGAGGACCGAGAAUAGGAGUAUAUCUACUUCUAGUACAGUGAGUAAACUUACUAUCGUCUUAAUUAUCUAGAGUAGAUUUAUUUAAUUGUGUGAUUUUCUGGAAAAUGGUUUAAUUGUAAAAUUAUUGUGUUUUAUGGAAAAAUGAGAUUUUAUAAAAUUAUUUUAUAAAAUUUUUGAAAAUUUAAUAAUGAUUUCAAAAAUAGAGUAAUUGGAGACCUAUACUAUGAUUGUGUUGUUUAUCCAUGAUUUUACAUUAAAUGGCUUAUGAUAAAUGUGGGCAUGACUGGUUAUUUUUAUGAUUUAAAGAAUACGUGAACUGCUUUGAUUUGCCUUGAAUGUGUUAAGUGAGCCAUGUCAUACUAUUGUGAUUUUAUUGGUUGGUGGUUUAUAAAGUGGGCACUGCAGUGACGGGGGUUUCGUGGGCCAACCUAAUUAGAGGGGCACGGUUCCCAAUUAUUGAGCUUACCUCGAUUGGAGAGGCGCUUAGAAUAACUCUCGAGGUAGGAUUUGAGUACACUUCACGCUAGCCACCAUGUGAAAUUGAGACUCAGCCAACGCCAAGGAAUGGAUGUGUUGUUAGAGGUGAAAUGUGUUUGUGUGUGUGACAAUAAAUAGCCUUGGCGGUCUCGGUAAGAUGCCUCCGUGGGGUAUCCCUGAGAAUGGAUUUUUGGCGAGGGCCAAGUUUUUGAAAAGUACAUAACCCAUGUUGAGUAGUUGGAUGAAAUCCAAUUAUUUAUAUGGGUUGGGAUGAAUUAUUUAAUUGUUUCCUAUUACUCGGCUUUAGAUUAUUUUGAUGAUGUCUGUCUACUCACUGGGAUUUUAUAAUCUCACCCCUUCUUCCUAUACAUUUUUCAGGCUUAGAAUAGGCAGUAGACUGUCAAUUGCAUCGAGAAGUAAAUUUCAGAGUUGUAUCCUAGAAAGCAAGGUUAUAGACUUAAACCUUCUUAGUUAUUUGAGGGCCCACGUGUCAUUGUAAUUUAAAUUACAUACUCCAGUUUUUUAUAUUACAAUAUGUAUAAAUUUAUUUUGUUUUUAUGUGCAGUAAAUUCAUUUUUGAUGUUUCAAAUAUAUAUAUAUAUAUAUUGUUUUACAUUAAAAUAGAUUAUUUUAAUUAAUAUUUUUAUUUUAUUUUAUUAUUAAAAACAAAAGAAGAAAAAAGAGAGAGGAAUGGAAAAACUAGUACAAAAGCCUUGCGAGGUCUCGAACGGCAUUCGGGGGAAGAAUGUCUGUCGAGGCUUCACGAUGGUUGUCACAGGCUCGAUGGGAGUUCCGGGUCGUGACAAUUAAGUUGGUAUCAGAGCUUUUGGUUAACAAAGCAUGGUUUUAAAGUUUUUGGUUUUUAUAGUUAUUUUAAGAAUUCACACUGACACUACGUGGCCUCGGGUUGAGUUAAACUAAGUUAAGUUAAGUUGGGUUAGGUAGAGUUGCAUGUAUGUAGAGUCUGAGAUUACUUAAACUUGCCUCGUUUCCUUUUUAGAUUACCAUGCGUCUUCGACGUGAGCGCCCACUCCCUACUAGAUUAGCUAGGAGGGGCAGAGGUCAUCCUAGGCAGGGUCAGCCAGACCUUAGAGGAAAGAAUCGACUGCGUCCUUUUUUCGAAUGGCACUUGCUGCUGAACCGGUCGAGAUUCCUCCGCCACCUACUAGCAUUCCUGCCGUGUCUCUUGAGGUAAUUCAGGCAAUGGCAGCCUUCUUUACCGCGAUGGCUGGUCAGGUUCAGACUAGUCAAGUCCCACCUGUAGUGCCACCAGUUACUCCUUCAGUUCCAUUAGUACAUGAUGUCUCUAUUUCUAAAAAGCUGAAGGAGGCUAGACAAUUGGGUUGCGUGUCCUUUGUGGGUGAGUUGGACGCCACCUCAGCGAAGGAUUGGAUUAAUCAAGUUUCAGAGACACUCUCCGAUAUGAGAUUGGAAGAUGAGAUGAAGUUGAUGGUGGCUACAAGGUUAUUGGAAAAGAGAGCCCGUACAUGGUGGAAUUCGGUGAAGUCCCGUUCCAUUAUUUUCCUAACUUGGUCAGGCUUUCUGAGGGAAUUUGAUAGUCAAUAUUAUACCCAUUUCCAUCAGAAAGAGAAGAAGAGAGAAUUUCUGAGUCUGAAGCAGGGGAAUUUAACUGUAAAAGAGUACGAGACUCAAUUUAACGAGUUGCUAUCUUAUGUGCCUGAUUUGGUGAGGACUGAACAGGAUCAGGUUGAUUAUUUCAAGGAAGGGCUCCGCAAUGAGAUAAGAGAGCGAAUGACUAUGACAAGUAGGGAGCCCCAUAAAGAGGUAGUACAAAUGGCCUUAAGGGUUGAGAAGCUCGCAAAUGAAAAUAGGAGAAUGCGAGCUGAGUUGGCAAAGAGGAAAAAUUCGAAUAUGUCCUCCAGUCAGUCACUAAAGAGGAGCAAAGGCUAAUUUGUUUCAGGGAGUGCUCCUUCUGUUUCGGUAACAUCCUCCCGACCAUCAUUUUCACAAAUGCAGCAAAGGCCUCUGAGAUUCAGCGGAUCUGUAGUGACUACUUCUGAAAAGAGUUCCGGAGGUUCUGACAGAUGCAGCGAAUGUGGAAGAUUUCAUGGCGGGGUGUGUUGGGGGCCUUUGCGAUGUUUUCAUUGUGGCCAGACGGGUCACUGUAGAACUAAUUGUCCACAGUUAAGAUAGGCCACUGUAGUUGCUCUAUCUUCAUCAGCUCGUACGGACUUGCAGAUGAGAGAUUCCUCUGGAGCACAACCGAGGCAGGGAGUAGCUAUCCGGCCUGAUGUGGAGAGUAGCACCCCAGUGUGCCCACCUUCCAGACCACAGACUCGUGCGUCAACAAAAGUUUUUACGGUAAUGGAAGAUGAAGCACGAGUCCAACCUAGAGAAAGUGAAUGAAAAGUUAGGUGGAAAUGUAAGAUAAUGAUAAGAGAUGUAAAUACUAAGUGCUGAGAGUGUAAAUAAAGCUUUUAAGAAUAAUAUAAUAAAUGAGUUUAUGUAGAAUAUCGCUAUGAAAUUUUCUUAAUGUAUUGUGGAAAUUGGAG
rnacentral:lncRNA from 1 species